rnacentral:tRNA from 1 species
CGGGACGUAGCGCAGCCUGGUAGCGCACUUGCUUGGGGUGCAAGGGGUCGUGGGUUCGAAUCCCGCCGUCCCGACCA